CCUACGGGGGGCUGCAGUAAGGAAUAUUGGUCAAUGGACGCAAGUCUGAACCAGCCAUGCCGCGUGGAGGAUGAAGGUCCUCUGGAUUGUAAACUUCUUUUAUUUGGGACGAAACACUCCUAUUCUUAGGGGCCUGACGGUACCAGAUGAAUAAGCACCGGCUAACUCCGUGCCAGCAGCCGCGGUAAUACGUAGGGUGCAAGCGUUAUCCGGAUUCAAUGGGGUGUAGGUGGGCGUAGAUGUCUGUGUAGAAAUCCCCGAGCUUAACUUGGGAACUGCCGUUGAUACUAUACAUCUUGAAUAUCGUAGAGGUAAGCGGAAUAUGUCAUGUAGCGGUGAAAUGCUUAGAGAUGACAUAGAACACCAAUUGCGAAGGCAGCUUGCUAUGCGAUUAUUGACACUGAGGCACGAAAGCGUGGGGAGCAAACAGGAUUAGAUACCCCAGUAGUC
rnacentral:rRNA from 1 species